rnacentral:tRNA from 2 species
GCGUCCGUAGCUCAAUCAGGUAGUAGCACCGCACUUUUAAUGCGGGGGUUGUGGGUUCAAUUCCCACCGGGCGUA